CACCGCGGUUAUACGAGAGACUCAAGCUGAUAGCCAUCGGCGUAAAGAGUGGUUAAUUUUUAAAUAAACUAAAGCCAAAUGUUUCCAAAACUGUUAUACGCACUCGGAAAUAAGAAGAUCAUAAACGAAAGUGACUUUAAAUUAAUGAACCCACGAAAGCUACGGAA
rnacentral:rRNA from 1 species